AUAAAUAAAGCAUAUUAUUUCUAGGUGAUAUGUGUUCACUGAGUGAAAAAUAAAUAAGGAUAAGGAUAAGAAGAUCACAUAAUGAUGUAUUCUUGUUCACCCUAUGAAGGCUACGUCCAAUUCUCACAAUUUGUGAGAUUUUCCACUAGUGUGCUUAGCACCAGAAUAUUUUUGCUUUCACACUAUCUUUCUUGAUCAGUUUCAGAAUUCACCUUUCAACCUUGAAAUAUUUUUACAGUCACCUUUCAGUCCAAAAAUAAUUUUUACAAUUUACCGUUUAAUAUCUAAAAAGCUUUUUACAACCUACUCAAACUAUCUUAAGAGAUAGACUUGGGUUAUAAAUGAUGUGUACGAUAAAAUAGUUUAGGAGUAAAAUCUAAUCAACACUUGUUUGAGAUUGAUUAUUAGUAAUAACUCAAUAAAGUGGUCUUUGAAUAUAAUAAGAGAGAGCUAAAGUUUUGCUUAAGAGAGAAUAGCUUUAAAACUCUUGCAUUUUUCUUCUCCUUGGUUGUUCCUUUUAUGGUUCAGAUUGAAGUCUAUUAAACACAUGUGCUAUUUGGUCCAAAAUGUUUCUCUAUAAAACCGAAACGUUCUUGGUUCUGUUUUUUUAUGGAAAACGUGGAUGAAUAAUUGAAUGGUUGUGGAAUGCCAGUAUUUUGAUUCAGAAGCAUGCAUAUCAUUUUGCAAAAAGGAUGCAACAAUAGUGUGCUCAUGUCCUUGUUAUCCUUGCUCACAACUCGUCAAUCUGGAGAUCAAUCUAAUCAUUGAUCUGAAGACUAUUUUGAGCAUAAAAUCAUGGGAACCAAACAGUGUAUCAAAAUGUUCAUUUAAGAAAAUUCUGCAAACAUACACUUAAACAAGAGAAUAUGCAAUUGAAAUGGAAAUAGUCAUUAUAUAUUAAAACAUAAAUAACAAUCAGUCAUUGAAGUCAUUACAUAAGAAAUUAAAAUUUCCUUAAGACCGAUGAUACAAGCACAUGGAGACAUACUUUACGUUUUUCCUUAACCUACACCAUUCGUCUAGAAAACAAGUGAGGUCUCUUAAAAUUUGAAAAUCCUCAUUUUCGUUAAAUAACCUCUUAAAAUCUAAGAGUAGGAGUCAAAGUAGAACCUACUCCAAACAAAUACUGCCUAAUCCAACUUAAUUUUCCAAAAACAGUAAGUCAAAGUCGUAAUUCUAAACACUUGGAACCCUAAACACAAUCUUAAAGUCCAAAUUCCAAAUGUAAAUUACCAAUGUUUGUGAAGUACAAAAAAGGAUUGAAGAUUACCAUGUGAAAAUAGAUCCUUUAAACCAAAGCUUGCUCGAUAAUACAUCAUUUGUUGAUGAAUCCCGAUUUUAGAGAUGAAGGUGAGAGAAAUCUAAAAUUGGUGAUGGAGAUGAUGAAUGAGAUGAGUGGGUGAAGAUUAGGGUAGGAGAAAUUUGAGAGAACUUAUUGAUUGAAGGAUGAUUGUGGAGGUUAGAUUUCUUAAGAAUGAGAGAAAAGUUGAUAAAAAAUGAGUGAAAUGGGACAAAAAUAAGAGUUAGUUGCGUGUUUUAAAAUGACAACUAAAUAACUGUGCACUUGUUACUAAGUUCUACUGACGCGAUUCCAAUCAAGCUAUGCAAGUGAUUCAAAUUACACAGUUCGUGAUUCAAAUCUCCAUGUUGUCCUUUAAAAAACUUGAGACAAGUGGUUGAUAAGUGCUCAAUUACCAUAUAUUUGAUAUAUUGUUAAACCAC
rnacentral:lncRNA from 1 species